UGGGGAAUAUUGCACAAUGGAGGGAACUCUGAUGCAGCGACGCCGCGUGAACGAAGAAGGCUUUCGAGUCGUAAAGUUCUUUUAUAUGGGAAGAUAAUGACGGUACCAUAAGAAAAAGCCCCGGCUAACUACGUGCCAGCAGCCGCGGUAAUACGUAGGGGGCUAGCGUUGUCCGGAAUCACUGGGCGUAAAGGGUUCGCAGGCGGAAAUGCAAGUCAGGUGUAAAAGGCAGUAGCUUAACUACUGUAAGCAUUUGAAACUGCAUAUCUUGAGAAGAGUAGAGGUAAGUGGAAUUUUUCGUGUGGCGGUGAAAUGCGUAGAUAUUAAAAAGGAUACCGGUGGCGAAGGCGACUUACUGGGCUCAUUCUGACGCUGAGGAACGAAAGCGUGGGUAGCAAACAGG
rnacentral:rRNA from 1 species